rnacentral:rRNA from 1 species
CGCCCCCUGAAGUUGCUAACGACAGUUGAAAUAAUUUUCUUUCUAUGGGGGGUCGGACCUGCCCGGUGACACAUGUUAAACGGCCGCGGUACUCUGACCGUGCAAAGGUAGCAUAAUCAUUUGCCUUUUAAUUGAAGGCUCGUAUGAAUGGUUUAACGAGAACUGAGCUGUCUCUUUAAAAAUAUAAAAAAAUUAAUUUUUAGGUGAAGAAGCCUAAAUCUAGCUGAGGGACAAGAAGACCCCUUUGAGCUUUAGUAAAUUAAUAAAGAUUUGUCACCUGAAAAUGUUCAGGGAUUUUUAUUAUACAUGUAUAAAUGUCACUUAUUAAAAAUCUUUAGUUGGGGCGACUGAGGAACAAAUAAAGCUUCCUUCAAAUUUUCACAAACAGAAAAUCAAUUUACAAAAAGAUCCAGUAUUUGCUGAUCAGGGGAAAAAGCUACCACGGGGAUAACAGCGUAAUCCUCCUAAAGAGCUCUUAUCGAAGGGAGGGUUUGCGACCUCGAUGUUGGACUAAGAUACCCCGGAGGUGCAGAAGCUUCUGACGGUUAGUCUGUUCGACUAUUAAAAUCUU